rnacentral:rRNA from 1 species
GCAAGUCGUACGGUAACAGGUCUUCGGAUGCUGACGAGUGGCGAACGGGUGAGUAAUACAUCGGAACGUGCCCGAUCGUGGGGGAUAACGGAGCGAAAGCUUUGCUAAUACCGCAUACUGUCUACGGAUGAAAGCAGGGGACCGCAAGGCCUUGCGCGGACGGAGCGGCCGAGGGCAGAUCAGGUAGUUGGUGGGAUAAAAGCUUACCAAGCCGACGAUCUGUAGCUGGUCUGAGAGGACGACC